rnacentral:lncRNA from 1 species
CUUCUCUCUCCAAAGUUGCUUUAUUCUCUCUCUUCAAAACCCACAGAAAUCCACAAAUCCAACUGUACAUAUUCGGUGGUGUCGUCGCAUUGAACUUUCGCAAACGGUGUCGACGACGUAGGAUCGACGAGCUCCGAUCGCCAUUUGAAAACGACGUUUUAAAAACAAUAACAAGCUCCAGUUAUUAAUAUUUCUUCAUGAUUUGCAGUUCAUAAAAUCGGCCUGUUAUAUAUAUUUUAAUCACGAUAUAUAAACCUCAACUUCUUCUUGGGUCAUCCCUUCCUUCCAUGAAAUUGCAAUUUUCAUAAGGACGUUAUAAAAUCGAUCUGUUUGUGAGUUCGUGAAACUGCAAUUUUUUUCAAAAGAAACGUGUUUUUGAAAAACUGCAAAAAAAAAAAAAAAAAUUGAACCCAAUUGGCCUGUUAUUAAUAUAGCUUCAUUCCAACGAUUUCUUGUUCCACACUGCACAUUCCCAGAAUUUCAUGUGCAUUUUUGGGUUAUUUUGUGUUGUGGUUUUCCCUUCAACUUCAAAUUAAAGGUAUCUUUUCGCAUUUCUUACAAUAAAUGUGCAAUUCUUGGGGGAAUUUAGAUGAACAAUCUGAAAAAAAGAUUUCACUUUGGGCAAUGGGAUAUUAAGAGAUCUGAUAUUUAGAGUUUGAGGUUCUUGAGGCAAUCUUGAUAUCUCUAAAGUUUCAACAAUUUAAAUGUAUCACAUUUUCUGGGUUUUAGGCAUUUGGUGUAAUUAUAUGCAAGUUCCAGUAUUGAAAAACAAAAUAUUUUUUAUUUGAUUCACUAUAUUUGUUAUUGACUGCUAUGAGUCCUGGUAUCUGAAUGAAACAAUCUACUCAGUUGAGUUGUUUAAAGCUUAUAGGAUUUUCUGUUUUCAUGAGUUCUGGUCUUAAUUGUGGGCAUCUUUUCUAUAUUGGCUCCCUUGCUGCCUUUGUGCUUGGUUUUAGUAUUGGCAUUAAAUCUAAUUUGUGUAUCGUAUGUUUUAGGAGAAAGAUAACGAUAAUAAAGGAAAAUUAUUCCUUUGUUGUGGUCGGAAUUGUGAAUUUUGGGAGUGGGUUGUAAAAGAAAAAUCAAGAGCUGAAUGUAGUCGUGGCAACACUACCGCCCCUACCACUGUGAUGGACAACAUAGAUGAAGAAAUGUCGCGUGUGUUUCAAUCUAGAGUUAGGAUAAGUGAUGAAGAAGAAUUACAGAUUUUGGUGAAUGUGAAUGUGAGCAUCCGGACGGAAAGAAGAACCACGGAAGUGAAUGCAAAAAGGAAGCGGCCUACUUGACAUGUUG